AGUCUUGCCCAGCCAGCCCAGAUGGGCAAAACAGGCUCAAAGCUGUAAGCAUAUAAACUAUAACUGAAAUGAGAAUGAUUAUGAAAAGCCAAAAUUUGUGUUCUCUAUUAAUGUUUAAUUAAAUUUUGUUUUGCAGUUCAUGAGAAUGGUGGGUCGUCUCAAGGUGAAUUCAUUGUGGUGUGCUCAUACCAAAAAAAAAAAAGGGUUUUAAAUAUCAGUGAGGAUUUUUAAAAGGAGAAUUUAUUUAACUAUAUAACCUAAUUCUUUAUUUUCAUUAUUCCAUUUGGCCUGGAAGAUGACAUUACCAGCUUACAAGCAAAGAAAAAGAAAACAAAAUCGAAGAAAGACUUUAUACACAUAUAUACAGAUGACCUGGAUAGAUAUGUACAGGCAUUGUGAUUCUAACAGUCAUACUUUCUUUAAUAUGAAUCAGCUCUGUUUAAUCUGUCUUUUUGACAUUUGCUAUAAUAUAUAUAUAUAUAUAAUAUUUUGAAGGGCAUAGGCCUUUUUUGUUGCAUUGAUUACAAUAGUGUUAUUUGAAGCAUUUAUUACAUAAAUGUUAAAAUUGAUAGAUUUUAAUUAUACUGUAAUGCUGAAUGGCUAUAAUUACUAAAAUUGAGAAAAAAAUCAGAGAGAGAGAGAGAGACAAUGUUUUCACAAUGUUUUCACAGAUAUCUCUCAGCUAUUUGAUGGCUUGGAGAGAAGAAUACUGCUGAAACUUGACCAAAUCCAUGCCGAUAUUAAAACAGCUAUUGGACUGCAGUCUGUGAACCAGCAAAGCACCUCUGCCUUGGACCUAUUCGAGGUGCUAGAGGAGCCUUGCAAGUCAGUGGAGGAAUUGGAAGAGCUGUGCGAAAAGCUGAAAGCUGUUGAGUUUCGCAAGAAGAUUGUAUGUGCUGAAACAAAUGCUGUUUUAUGUUAUGCUGCAAUUUCUUGGCACUGUUCUUUGAUAACUGAUUGUUGUUGUUUGUAUGUAGAUUCGAUAUCUUUGUCUUCAGAGUGCAGGCAGUUUGGGGGAUGGCAUUAGAAGAAUGCUAAAAAAAUCGGAGAGAAUUCCCUUUGGGCUGAAUACAGCUACAAAGGGAGAAAAGGAAAACGGGCAUUUCAGCAACUGCUGAUCAAUGAUGCGAUCAUACGUGCCUGCAGUAAGGUGUAUCCACACCACAAGACCCAGAGUGUGGAAGACAUGAUAGCCGUGACCCUUAAGCAUGCUCCACAUCGUGAGAAAGCAAAGAAAAAUGUUCAGGUUCCAAGGGUGGAAUCAGAUGUGGAGGAGUAACGCUUCAACAUGGAAACUUGGCAACUCCACGCAAACACACACACACGUUUUUGUUUAUGAAAAUAAAAGUAUUUUUGUGUCCUGAUAUUCGGAAUUUGUGUGUUUUUCCUUGUUGUGUGUUUGUUCCUUGGUUGUUCAAUUUUGUGUUAUCAGACUAAUGCUACACUAUAAAAGGGUGUUAAGAUGUUAAAAGGACUUCUAGUGAAGUUCCGUAAAGGUCCCCGAAAGUUUUCUAAACGUCCCGUGAAUGUCCCUCGGGACGUCGCGCGAACGUCCCCCGCGAAGUCCUGCGAACGUCCCGCUGACGUCCCCCGCAACGUCCUGCGAACGUCCCGCUAACGUCCCCCACGACGUCCUGCGAACGUUUAAAGAACCCUACACGAAGACGUUCAGGGAACGUUCGCAGUGGACGUUCAGGGGACGUUCUGGGGACGUUUUUUUGUUAGCUGG